rnacentral:rRNA from 1 species
GAUGAACGCUGGCGGCGUGCCUAAUACAUGCAAGUCGAGCGAACAGAUGAGGAGCUUGCUCCUCUGACGUUAGCGGCGGACGGGUGAGUAACACGUGGAUAACCUACCUAUAAGACUGGGAUAACUUCGGGAAACCGGAGCUAAUACCGGAUAAUAUAUUGAACCGCAUGGUUCAAUAGUGAAAGACGGUUUUGCUGUCACUUAUAGAUGGAUCCGCGCCGCAUUAGCUAGUUGGUAAGGUAACGGCUUACCAAGGCGACGAUGCGUAGCCGACCUGAGAGGGUGAUCGGCCACACUGGAACUGAGACACGGUCCAGACUCCUACGGGAGGCAGCAGUAGGGAAUCUUCCGCAAUGGGCGAAAGCCUGACGGAGCAACGCCGCGUGAGUGAUGAAGGUCUUCGGAUCGUAAAACUCUGUUAUUAGGGAAGAACAAACGUGUAAGUAACUAUGCACGUCUUGACGGUACCUAAUCAGAAAGCCACGGCUAACUACGUG